GUGUGAAUAAUAAUUAAUUUUAUAUUAAAACUAACAAAAAAAUUUCAAAUUAAAAUAAUAAAAUAAUAUUUGUACAUGGCAUUUAAUGCUAGCUAGUACUCUGUUAGAGAAAAAGGUAAUUUCUUGAUCAAAAAGUCAAAUUUUUGCUUUUGGUUGCCCAAAAAAAUACGUGACUUAGCUGUACUUUGACAGCACAAGUCCUUUCCCACAUCAGUAGGUCUCUUUAGUCUCUUCUUCUUCCCCUUUUUCCCUCCAAUACCAAAAAUAGUGAAAGUUAUCGAUUACUUCUUCCUCUGUCUCGUUUAUCUCUUUCCAGAGCCGGAAAAAAAUAUAUGACAACACAAAAUUUUCAUCUUUCAUCCAACAAAAUAGAAAAUAUGACAUCUGCAAGUCAAAAGGGAAAGGUUCUUAUGAGACCAACGAAAAGUGUAGGGAUUGAUUUUGAUGAUAAACCAUUGUGGAAUCAUGUCAAAGUUGUUUCAGUUGCUCAAUAAAAGAUUCAUGGGAUCAUAUAACAAAGUAAAAUCACAUCUCUUAAAAAUACCAAACCAUGGAGUUCAAAUAUGUUCAGCUAUCGAUGGUGAAAUAUUAAGGGUUUUGAAGAUAGAGCAUGAACAAGUUGAAAGAAAAAAUCAUCCAUGCAAGUUGAUGCAAGAAAGAAAGCUGAUUAUGUAUCUCUUCCGGAGGGGAAUGAUUUGCUACAACCGAAAAAAAGGAAAGGUCCAGAAGGUGGAGCUAUAGAGAAAUCCUUUGGCCUCUAUGAAAGAAAUACCGCCGAUAAAUUGGCAACUCGAAUGUUUUUCGCAUCAGGUCUAUAGUUUAAUUUUGCAAGAUCUCCUUAUUUCAAAAAAUAUUCACUGUUUCUAGCUGAAAAUCAUAUUCCUGGUUAUAUUCCCCCGACAUAUGAUAGGUUGAGGACAUCUCUUUUGGCUCAGGAAAAGACUAACUUUGCUAGAAAGUUGCAACCAUUAAAGAUACACGGAGAAAGAAAAGGUUGUCGAUUUGUUCGGAUGGAUGGUCCGACAUUAAGAGACGACCUUUGAUAAAUAUAAUGGCAUCAUCUAGUGGGGGCCCAAUAUUUUUAAAUUCAAUCAAUUCUAGUGGGGUCGUAAAGCAGGGGGAAUACAUUGCUAAAUUGUUGAUUGAUGCAAUAGAAAAUGUAGGUCCGGAUAAUGGUGUUCAAGUUAUUACGGAUAACACAAGUAACAUGAAAAGUGCCGGUUCUAUCGUGGAGCAAAAAUUUCCUCAUAUAUUUUGGACUCCUUGUUUUGUUCAUUGUUUAAAUCUAGCGUUGAAAAGUAUGUGCCAACCUUCGGAAAGAUCAACUCAAUUUGCGAAUGGAUAGUAACGUUACUUGGUCAAGUAAAUAGUCUGAAGAACUUUGUUGUGAAUCAUGACAUGGCACUUGCAACUUUUCAAAUGCAUUCUAAAUUGAGCUUAUUGAAAGUUGCCGAAACAAGAUUUGCAUCACACAUUGUUAUGACCGAUCGUGUUAAAAAAGUGAAAUCGGCUUUAGAGAAGAUGAGAUGGUGAUGGAUGAUGAAUGGAAGCAUUAUAGGGGGGAUAGGACACUUGAAGCUAAAACACGUGAUAUAAAAACCCUUAUAAUGAAUGAUGAUUGGUGGGAUAGUAUUGAUUAUUUUUUGAAGUUUACGAAACCUAUUGUAGAUAUGCUUAGAAGUGCCGAUCUUGAUAGUCUGAAAUUGCAUCUCAUUUAUGAUAUGUGGGACACUAUGAUUGAGAAAGUCUUUGAAGAAAUGAUACAAUCAACAUUCUUUUAGGAAAAAGAAAAAGAAGCUGGAAUCCUCACAUGAUAUUAUCUGUUGAAGACAUAUAAUUAAGUAAAUAAAAAUGUGAUCUCUAUGGCAGAUUAAAUGUUUAGAUGAGAUGGUCACUCACCUCAACAUAGUAUCAGAGCUGGACCCAUAUUGAUUCUUGAUUUAUCAAAUGUUGGGUCCUGUUGUUAUGUUGUUGACACACCAAAUGUCCAAGCCUAGGUGUGUGGACAGGUGUUAGUCUCACAUUUGUUGAGAGAAUGGACUGGUAUCUCCUUAUAUGGUAUGGAUCAUCCCUCACUUCAUGAACUAUUUUUUGGGGUUGAUUUAGAUCGAAGGUCAAUUUAUUAUAUUAUCUGAAAUCUCUUCUUUUAUUAUGUGGAUGUGAAUGAGGAAGCUUUUGUUUCUGUGGCGAGUUCCGUGCGCCCAUGCCAUGAAACACAGAUUUUUACGGUUCAAGAAGCAUCCUCAUCAUUUUAUUUGUCUACAUCUUUUCUGAGUCCAGCAUGAGUCUCACUAACUUCUACUGCUGGUGAAUUCUAGCUUGAUUUGCAGAACAACUCAGCUCAAACCUUCUGGCAGAAGGUAGAGAUCGCUUUUGGUAAGUUGCAGAAAUCAGUCCUUCGCACCAAGCCACCAACAUUUCUAAAAAUUAGCUAUCCCUUUUCAUUAAUCACAACUUGGGUAUAGUUUUCACCUCAAUAGGUAGAAGUUAUUUUCAUUAAAGGUUAGAUAAUUUUAUUAACAUGAAAAAAAAUUCGUAUAGAAGAAGUCAAUCAAAAAGACAAAACAGAGAGUCUACACCAAAAUAUGGUUCUCUACAAACUAGUACAAAGUGCACCCAAUCUUUAAUAUACACCUGACCUCAUGGGUGCACUAAGGAACUAAAUAUAAAAGUUACAUCUCAAAUAUAGAAGUUAUAUCUAAUUCUGGCCACAAAGACAAACUUUCCUUUCAUUACCUCUAUAAUCUCCAUCUUCCUCUGAUCUCAUGAGACUCCUAUGCCUCAAGCACUCUUAUUAGUCGGAACUUUGUCAUACUUAACCCAUUUCCCUCUCCCACUUACUUUGUCAUACUUAACCCAUUUCCCUCCCCCGCUUCUAAUAAUUGAAUGACAUAACCUCCAUUUUAAGUCUUGAAAGUAUAAUAAGUCACUGCACGGCAUUCUCUAAUCUAUUUGGUUAUUUUUUCUUCACCCCUGUCAGUAUUCCAAUUUUUUGAGCGAGUCCACCCAUUUGAUUUAGUGAACCGGUACAUUUAAAAUAAUAAGAUUAUAUAGAUUUCCUUUUGCUAUCUUUGCGCCUUGGUGAUCUCACAUCAUAAUUAUUCUCGAAUUUACUUGAUCUUUGUCUUGAAAUAGUUGUGCCAUGCUUAAUUCUUCCAGUUAAACUUAUUAGAGCCUUUACCAUUUUCUAUUUUGUUGCACAGGUUGGUCAUAUGUCAUCGAGAUGGCACUAAAAGUGUACACUUAUGGUUUUGGGAACUAUUGGAAGGAUGGUCAAAAUCGAUUUGAUUUUGUCAUCACUUGGGUCAUUGAUAAACCAAGAAUACAAGUUUGUGUUGAGUUCGGAUGGCAGAGAGAAGCAAUGAUAUAGAUGGAGAGUUUGUUUUCGGCCUUGAAUGACCUUCUCUUUCUAUCUUGAGGAAAGAAUGAAAGACUGUGAAAGAGACGACCUAGAGGCUUGAAAACUUUGCUCUGUAAAAGCUUGGAAAGGAAAUUUGGAGAAUAUGAAGAAGACACCGCAUACAUUUGGAGGAGACAUGUAGUCGUGUACAAGGUUUGAAUUAGGACUCUUAAAAGUCUUAAUUGUAUUAACGUAUAUUCGACUCCUUUUGCUGUUAUCACUUUGCUAAUCACUUGAUCGUGGAUUUUGUUCGUCUCAUCUUCGGCUUGAAAUAACAGGAAAUAGCUUAAGAAUUUUUCGUCUUGAAGUAUUGAUGAACCCACUAUGUUUCUUUUCUAAGUUCGUAAGAUUUGUCCUUAAAAAUUCUCUAUUUCUUUGAUAGAUUGCCUUUUGCAGCAGAGCAUAGUCAAUAUGGCAUCAUACAAGAAACUCAUAUAUCUUUUCCUCAUCAUUUUCUUUAUCAUAUUGCACUAUUGUUUGUCUAACGUUUAUCUUCCUCCUGCUGCCCUUUUACCCUUAGUUCUGUUUUUAACUUUUGCAGAUCUUUGGGGGGAUUGUCAACACUGGAAACCCCAACUUAAGCCAAACUGAUCUUGCUCGUUAUGACUAUUUGCUUUUUAACUUCAAUGACUACCCGACUGGCAUGGUGACAGUUUUCAACUUAUUGGUGAUGGGAAUCUGGCCACCAGUGAUGCAGAGCUACAAGGAACUGACAGGGAACUCCUGGACUUAUGUCUACUUUUUCAGCUUCUAUCUUAUUGUCGUUUUGUGGCUAUUAAAUUUGGUAAGUAUCCAUGUGUACCCUUUGCAAAUAUGGUUUCUAGACCUCCAUUGGAGCUCCAUAGACAUGGACAAAAGCCAGAUAAUGUUAAAGUCAACCUCUCAAUAUAGUUAAGUAAAUCAGAUAACAUAAUCACAUGGGCAAUGAGUCCAUUUGGGUAAAAUGAUGGUUCCUUUCCCAGUGGCUACUAGUUUUCUUCUCAUAUAGAUCUUCUCAUAUAGAUAUAAGUACUCAUAAGUUCUAUUAGAGAAUGCAUUUGUACCCCAUCAGUUGUACUCCCUCUGUUUCAAUUUGUUUGUCUUACUUUCCUUUUUUAGUCCGUUUAGAAAAGAAUGCCUCUUUCCUUUUCGGCCCACGUGUAAAACCAAGAACCAGGUUACGUGUGUUAGAGAAUGCAUUUGCCCCUCAUCAGUUUUAUAAGGUUUUCAAAGGGGUUUAUAAUGUCCUGGGCCACUCCACCUAUUGCCUUAAGGUUUGGAUUGGAUGCUCAGAUUCUUUCACAAGUUCAUUGUAUCAAAUAACAUUAUCACAUGGAGAGAGAGAAAUAGCAGGGCAUUCGAAGAGGUAGGAAUGAGUUUUGGGCAGUUGAACAGUCUCUGCUCCCUUAUUUACUUUGGUGCACCCAUGUAGGUCCGGGAUUUAUAGAGGAUUGAGUGUCUUUUGUAAAGAACCAUUUCUUUUUGUAGGUUCUUUACUCUCUGGUAUACUUCUUGUAUACGAUCAUUUUUGGCCUUGUGAUUAAUGAAAUUGUUUACCUGAUCAAGAAAACAAAAAAAAUCACAUGGGCAAUGUGUCCAUUUGGGUAGAUGAUGGUACCUUCCCCAGUGGUAACUAACUCUUAGAUCUCUGGAUAGUUGUAGAUACAUUACAUUAUUAUCCUAUUGUUUUUUGUGGUCUAUGUUCCAGCCUUGUAUAUACCCCUUCUCCUAAUUCACCAAGCAAACUCUAAUAUUGACUUAUUGUUGCUUCAACAUGUCCAAAAAGUGAUGCCUGCUACUUAUGUGUGCUUUUAAAGGUAAAAGUUCCCUUACUUCCAAGAACUAAUUAUUUUCAUGAGUUGGCUCAUUCCACGUUCAAAAUGAUAUUUUCCUAUGCUUUAGUUCUUUUGGACUAUGAGCAUCUACUCCGAUGUCAUUUAAGUAUUUCAGCGACCUGCAUAAUACAUCUGACUUCAUAUAUAUUCCAAGUCCAAGUCAAGCUAACCACCAUGUUUUCUUGCAGGUAAUUUCUAGAUCUUUAUAUUUGUUAUAUAUGUAUGGUCAAUUUAAAAUUUCAUAAAUGGAAAAUGUUUGACAAAGUGCUAACAUAUUUUUUUGAUGCACCCAGUAGUUAAAAUUCUAUAGAGUUGACUGCCUAUUGAGAGCCAUAAUUGAUGCGAGUUGGAAAUUUGCGUAACCACCACUGGGGAUUCAUGCAUGAGUCAACUUCCCAUUUGCAUGACGACCUUAAGAAUUGUGGAUAUUUCAUAGCCCUCCCAAGUCCCAACCAUCUUCACAUUAUUAGCCUUUUAGACUUUCCAUCUCAGCAACCAUUCUCAGGGGUCAAUAAAAAAACAAGCCAUUUUACCCGGUGCUGGGGUAUCAUAGAAUCACCUGAUGAUAAGGCAUCUGCUUGUCUAACAUUUUUUUUUCUUGGUGGUAAUACUGGUAUAUAUGUAAGUAUUCUUUACCAAGGCAAGGUAGCUUAAAUAUUUUAUUCCUAUUGAAUAUUGCAAAAGUUGACAUUGCAUCUCUUAAAGUUUUAGAAACUUUGACUUUGUUUUUGUUUUUGGACAAUUGAUCUUAGAAUUUACUGUCCCUUUGUGUUCUGACACUUUCUUCUUUCCUAAGUAUAUUGCUUCAGUCAGUGCUGAAGCCAGUAUUAACACUUCACCUUUGCUUGGUAAUUUUCAGAUUAUAGUAUUUGUCUUGGAAGCUUUUCGAGUAGAAAAUGAAGAUGAGGACAAGGAAGAAAGAAGAGAGCCGCAACAUACUGUUGGUGCUACUUAAUCGGAGACAGAAAUUAGAUGCUCUACACCGUCGCUUGUCUAGGGAACGAACCCG